AUGGCUACUCUACCCUCCUCCCCCUCUUUCCUAUUCUACUCCCAGCUGUAAAUACCUUCAUAAAACUGUUCCAUCUAUAUCCCUCAGGCCUCAUCUCAUACUCAUACUCAUUGAAACUCUGCAUUUAACAUCCUGCAGCAAAUCCAACAACCCUCAGGCCUCAUCUCACACUCAUACUCGAUGGAGCUCUCCAUUUAACAUCGUGCAGCAAAUCCAACAACCCUCAGGCCUCAUCUCAUAUUCAUACUCAGUGGAGCUCUGCAUUUAACAUCCUGCAGCAAAUCCAACAACCCUCGCCACUUACUGCCCACCCAGGUUUCCCCUAAAUAUAUAACAUGCUCGUCCAGCUGAGUGAGAUUCUCCCUCAAUUACUUAUUCAUUCC